GAAGCUGACCAGACAGUCGCCGCUUCGUCGUCGUCCUUUUCGGGGGAGACGGGCGGAGGGGAGGAAAGUCCGGGCUCCAUAGGGCAGGGUGCCAGGUAACGCCUGGGGGGGAAACCCACGACCAGUGCAACAGAGAGUAGGCUGCUUGAGCCAGUGAGCGAUUGCUGGCCUAGAUGAAUGACUGUCCACGACAGAACCCGGCUUAUCGGUCAGCUUCACUC
rnacentral:RNase_P_RNA from 1 species